rnacentral:rRNA from 1 species
GACGAACGCUGGCGGCGUGCCUAAUACAUGCAAGUAGAACGAGUUGCGAACGGGGGAGUAACGCGUGGUAACCUGCCUCAUCGCGGGGGUUAACUAUUGGAAACGGUAGCUAAAACCGCAUCCUUCGUAAUGGACCUGCGUUGUAUUAGCUAGUUGGUGAGGUAAAGGCUCACCAAGGCGACGAUACAUACCUGACCUGAGAGGUUGAUCGGCCACACUGGAACGGAGACACGGCCCAGACUCAUACGGGAGGCAGCAGUGGGGAAUAUUGCACAAUGGGCGCAAGCCUGAUGCAGCCAUGCCGCGUGUAUGAAGAAGGCCUUCGGGUUGUAAAGUACUUUCAGCGGGGAGGCGUUACCCGCAGAAGAAGCACCGGCUAACUCCGUGCCAGCAGCCGCGGUAAUAC